rnacentral:rRNA from 1 species
UACGGAGGAUCCAAGCGUUAUCCGGAAUUACUGGGCGUAAAGAGUUGCGUAGGUGGCAUAGUAAGCGAACAGUGAAAUGACGAGGCUCAACCUCGUGCCCAUUGUUCGAACUGCUAAGCUUGAGCAUAGUAGAGGUACCUGGAAUUCCCAGUGUAGGAGUGAAAUCCGUAGAUAUUGGGAGGAACACCGAUGGCGUAGGCAGGGUACUGGGCUAUUGCUGACACUAAGGCACGAAAGCGUGGGGAGCGAACGGG